AUGCACAUUUCGAUCUUGCUGCCAACCAAGAGGAGAAGCAACCCCUCCAAACCAGUGGUCUACGGAUUGCAAUUCUAUAACCACUGUUUGACUGCCUACAUGUGCCACACCCUUAAAUUAUUCUCAUCUUGCAACCUGUCUGUGCCAUUCAUGUUGCUUGCUUGUGAUUUUAACCAAGAUAAGAUUCCUCCCCUCACUGGUGCUGCCCCUUACUCCUCUCCUUGUGUGAUCCAGCUUGGACGAGGAGGAGUCCUUGUUGCCGUUGUGCUCUCCCGGACCCAGAUCUUGAUGCAACUGCCGGCUAGUUUACUCAUCUAG
rnacentral:rRNA from 1 species